CAGUCGCCGCGGGAAUACGAAGGGGGCUAGCGUUGCUCGGAAUGACUGGGCGUAAAGGGCGCGUAGGCGGAUUGUUUAGUUAGGCGUGAAAUUCCUGGGCUUAACCUGGGGACUGCGCUUAAUACAGGCAGUCUAGAGUGAGGAAGAGGGUUGUGGAAUUCCCAGUGUAGAGGUGAAAUUCGUAGAUAUUGGGAAGAACACCGGUGGCGAAGGCGGCAACCUGGUCCUUGACUGACGCUGAGGCGCGAAAGCGUGGGGAGCAAACAGGAUUAGAUACCCGUGUAGUCCCUGUCUCUUAUAC
rnacentral:rRNA from 1 species